rnacentral:rRNA from 1 species
UGGGGAAUAUUGGGCAAUGGGCGAAAGCCUGACCCAGCGACGCCGCGUGGGUGAUGAAGGCCUUCGGGUCGUAAAGCCCUGUCAGGAGGAAAGAACGAUCUUGUGGUAAAUACCCACGAGAUGUGACGGUACCUCCGAAGGAAGCACCGGCCAAUUCCGUGCCAGCAGCCGCGGUAAUACGGGGGGUGCAAGCGUUAAUCGGAAUUAUUGGGCGUAAAGGGUGCGUAGGUUGUUUGAUAAGAUAUAUGUGAAAUACCUGGGCUCAACCUGGGAAGGUCAUAUAAGACUGUCAGACUCGAGUAUGGGAGAGGGUAGAGGAAUUUCCGGUGUAGCGGUGAAGUGCGUAGAUAUCGGAAGGAACAUCGGUGGCGAAGGCGUCUACCUGGCCUAAUACUGACACUGAGGCACGAAAGCGUGGGGAGCAAACAGGAUUAGAUACCCACGUAGUCCCUGAGCGGGCUGGCAAGGCGCAU